CCUACGGGUGGCAGCAGUGAGGAAUAUUGGUCAAUGGCCGGAAGGCUGAACCAGCCAAGCCGCGUGAAGGACGAAGGUGCCAAGCAUUGUAAACUUCUUUUGUCAAGGGACAAAAUCAGGCUCGCGAGCCUGACCGAGGGUACUUGAAGAAAAAGCAUCGGCUAACUCCGUGCCAGCAGCCGCGGUAAUACGGAGGAUCCGGGCGUUAUCCGGGUUUAUUGGGUUUAAAGGGUGCGUAGGCGGGCUGUUAAGUGUGCGGUGAAAGGCCCGGGGUCAACCCCGGCGAGGCAGCGCGAACUGGCGGGCUUGAGACCGCGGAAAGCAGGCGGAAUUCGUCGUGUAGCGGUGAAAUGCUUAGAUAUGACGAAGAACCCCGAUUGCGAAGGCAGCUUGCUGCAGCGGAACUGACGCUGAUGCACGAAAGCGCGGGUAUCGAACAGGAUUAGAUACCCCGGUAGUC
rnacentral:rRNA from 1 species